AGGGUUUGAUUAUGGCUCAGGACGAACGCUGGCGGCGUGCCUAACACAUGCAAGUCGAACGAAGCUCGAAGCUCUGAGAUUUCGGUCAAGGAGCCUAGAUGACUUAGUGGCGAACGGGUGAGUAAUGCGUGAGCAACCUGCCUUUCAGAGGGGGACAACAGUUGGAAACGACUGCUAAUACCGCAUAACGUAUCCGGUAGGCAUCUACUGGAUACCAAAGGAGCAAUCCGCUGAAAGAUGGGCUCACGUCUGAUUAGCUAGAUGGCGGGGUAACGGCCCACCAUGGCGACGAUCAGUAGCCGGUCUGAGAGGAUGAACGGCCACAUUGGGACUGAGAUACGGCCCAG
rnacentral:rRNA from 1 species